AUUUACAAAAUUUACUUGUCCUCUCUGAAGAAAUUUUUAAUUCCAAUGAAACGAAAUUUUAUCUUUCAUCUCAAUGAAUCUUUUUGAAAGGUAAUAUAGGAAAUCUGCAUUCAAGGAUUCGUCGAGGCAGGGGAAGGGAUGUAUACGAAGCCUAACGUGUGCUGUUUACUUUGAAGUACUCGAGCAACUAAUUGCCAUGACAAAGGGAGGGAAAUGAAACCGUGCGUGUCACGCAGAAUCAAAUUGGGAUCGCCUGAUUAUUAGAUCCGGCAACUAUAAUCAUAUCAAAAAACAUACAGAAGAAAAAAUUACAUUAUCUGGAGUUCCAAUUAAAGUGUAUACUAAAAGAAUAGCAUUGAUCACAAAUAUUAUUAUAAAACGAUCUGUUCAUUAUUCAGUGAUUAAUCCCUUACUCUAACCAGUCUUCAAACCAGUUGAUUAAACGUGUCUGAGAAAUGUUAGAGGAUCUUACCUGUUGCUGAUACUGCUGAUAAUCAGUGUUCCCCUUGAUCACGGCAGAAACAACGUUCGAAAUGCCGACGACGACGAGUAACAACCUCGUCAAGCGACGAUCAGACCCGACCAAGGACAUGGUUUCUUGAAACGGGAACCGGAAGUUCCUGGACCCACUUGGUAGAAGCGGAGUAGCUGGAUAUUCGUCCUUUCCUUCAGCACCGAAUCUGCUUAUGCGCGAGUGUCGAGUGUCGCUUCAGGACCAACCGGAGAUUGUGUGGCGUCGCGACGCGCGGCGUCCCUCUUAUAGCCGCUAGUCCAGCUCGCGAUUCGUCCACGCUGCGCAUCCCCAAGCACUUGCUGUGUUACACCGACGACGAUAACGGUGAUAACUUUUCAACAGAGAAUUUCUACACGCGGCUCCUCGCCGAGGACCAGGUGUGACGACCUGCUCUAUGACAAUUUGUUCAAAGUCAAUAAGCAGAUGAUACAUCCUCAACUGAUUAAUUGAAUAGAUAAUAGAGAGUACUUUAUAGGAGACAUAGGGCGAAGAGCUGAAUAAAUUGCUGAUGACAGAAUAAUUUGUUGUACAGUAGAACAGCCAUUUCACUGUUCAAAUUACUUAACUCAUUUUCUACUGUAAGUUUCAUUUGGGGAUUUAAGUAGAGUUAAGGGGUUAGGGCACUAUAGAGCAAGAAAUAAUUUGUUGUACAGUAGAAUAUACCAGUGUUUAAACAGCCAUUUCACUGGUAAAAUAACCUAACUCAUUUUCUACUGUAGGUUUCAUUUGGGGAUUUAAGUAGAGUUAAGGGGUUAGGUCACUAUAGAGCAAGAAAUAAUUUGUUGUACUGUAGAAUAUUCCAGUGUUUAAACAGCCAUUUCACUGGUAAAAUAACCUAACUCAUUUUCUACUAUAAGUUUCAUUUGGGGAUUUAAGUAGAAUUAAGGGGUUAGGUCACUAUAGAGCAAGAAGAAAUAGGCAUAUUUUGGGAAUUUUUUUUUUUAAUAAUGGAAUAAAUCCCAAUUCCUAAUAAACUAAUAAACUCUAAAAAUUAAUUUUUGUAUAGUGAUUCAAAUGAAAAUAUGGGCUCUGUAGUAUUUCUUAGAUGAUGCCUAUUUUUUGUAGGGCUAACCAGCUCCUGGAAUUUUUAACUUAGGAUAAAAAACCAAAAUAUUUUCGAUUAUACAUGAGAACAGCUAUCGAACUACGUAGGAUUUUUUUGAUAUAUUGAUUUUUGCAAAAAUGGUAAAAUUUCAAGAAGAAAUCGCCAGAAAAUUGUUUAUAACAAAAGAACUAUGCAAUAUAAUGAAAAAAUCCUACGCAAUUCGGUAGAGAAUUUAGUUUCGAAUAUACUGUUAAAUUUUCAAACCGAUUGGUGAUGAUCUGUUUGAUUUAUGAGUCCGGCCAGUUUGAAAAAUGCGUUUCAGGUUUUCAGUAAUGCUUGUUGCAUACCGGAAGGGGCUGCGGCAGAAUUCGGAAUUCGAGUACUUAGAGUUUUUUCCCACCCAUAAUCUUUUGCCAUAUCAUUUUUAAGACAUUAAGGCACAUUUUAAGGAAAAAAAAAUUUCAAUUUUUUCAAUAAUUCUAGAGUGGCCUAACCCCUUAAGCCCCAUAUAGGAAUUUAAGUAGAAUUAAAAGAAAACCUCAUCUCUAUGGGUUGAUGCACUUUAAUAAUCAUUUAACCAGAGAAGAAAUUCUUUAUACCAUUUUAUUCAACUAAGAUGUCAUAAAUAGAGAAGAAAGUUGGUGCAUUAGGAUUCUGCAUGUCAUUAGCUGAGGGGGAACAUUAUAAAAGAUUGAAAAACAAACUUGCUAGUAUGUAAAUCAAAGGAAAAGUUACCUGGAGAAUAUAAUGACCCCAGGGACCUGGUAUACUGUAUUAAAAGAAAAAAGGCACUAUGCAACAAGAAAGCGAGCCUGCGAGUGCACUCGAAACGUUUCGCCACAGCAAAACUGAUAACAAGGCAGAGGUAUACGUUCUGGCUGUGAAACAAAACGAGCGGAAGGGACGAGUCAAGACUCGUGCUUGGUGUUCAUUGUGUUCGUCUUGAAGAGGCCACGGAAUCAGUACAAUUUAUUUUUUAAUAUAUGCAAACUACGACACUUGGCAGAAACACGAAAUCAGCUAUAUAGGUCAUCAUCUUAUGAGCGUAGAAUUAAAUAAGGAGCAUUUACAGCUACCGUUAACUCAUCGCCUCUUUUAUCUUCUAAAAUGAUAACAAACGAGGUGCAAUAGAAAUUUACCUCCUGCAGGUGCAGAACAACGGCCUCAGAGAUGAGCCAAUAGGGAGAACAAUGAACAAUCUUGUUCAGAAAUAGCGACACUGCUAGACGUAUAUAUAAUCACUUUGUAAAUGAUAGAAUACGAGAAAAUGAAAUUCAACAGUGGAAUUCAUUCUGGACACUUUGAAUGAAAAUAUUCUUUAUUUCAUAUUUCUGCAGAAAACGUAUAUUCUGCUAUGCUAAAUUAAUACUGUAAUAUUUUUAUUAU